AAAAAAAUGAAAAAAAAAAGGGCAAUGGCCUCCCCUUCUUUGAGCCUAACAACUUUCAUAACAAAUAUAUAUGAAAGAUGAGUUUUGGGCUACCACUUAGAAAGGAAAAUGGUAAAGUUUUGUUACUUUGGAAACUUGGCUACUAGCAAGACACCUCCUUCAUCAACUCCCUUAACUGGAGACUUGGGAGACUCCUAUCAUAUGUGAUGCGAAAAUUAUCUUAACACACAAAUUUAACUCUCUUUUGACAAUUGUAGUACAAGUAUAAGUAGGGAUCGUUUUGGACCGGGGAUUAGGAGGGCUUGCUAAUAACCUCUAAACUGACUCAAAAACAUAAAACUAAAUUUAAAAACACUUAACAAGACUCACAAGACUCAAAGCAAACUUAAAAUACUCAAAACAGCUUAAAACAACCAAAUAAACUUAAACUAGACACUAGGAAUGACUUUGGACGAAAAUUGACUUUUACUUGAAUCAAAACACUUAAGAACACAACUAAAACAUAUUUGAAACACUUUGAAACAAGAAACUAAAAGGGGGGUUUUGAUUUGGAUGAAGUUGAAACAAACAAACAAACAACAACAACAACAACAACAACAAAGCCUUUUCCCACUAAGUGGGGUCGGCUAUAUGAAUCCUAGAACGCCAUUGCGCAAGUUGAAACAAACAAACAAGUAUGAAAAAUUAGACAGAUUGUAAAACAAAUGUGAGAAAUAAGAUGAUGGAUGGGAUAGCUAGAGGCUUUUUCUCCACACAUGACAUGUAUGCAAAUAACUCGAUUUCCAGUUACUACUUCAUUGAAUUAUGAACAAUGCUCCAAAUUAACCGUGACAUCACUAGUUAACUCUCAGAUUUUCCUUAUUUUAUUGGAUUGGAUGACAUCAUUCGACAACCCAAAACAUUCUUCCAAAGUUCCCUACAUGACAUCAUAAUAGAGAUACAAUCAAAGAUCAUUACGUUUAAUGAAAAUCAUAAGUAUUGACAAAGCACUUGCAACUAUAACAUCAUGUUACUCAUGCUAGAAUUAAACGUAACACGAUCGUUUAUAAGCGACUUCCACUACUUAUGAAUAUAAGUUUGUAACGAUUAUGUGAAACCUUCUUAUAUUCUAGCAUCGGAUUUAUGCAUAUCAAUUAAGUGUCGACUCUUAAUCAACAUAUACAAAUAAGUUAUCAAUCAAAUAGUUAAGCCAAUUGCACUUACGAUUCAAGAGUUCAUAGCUGGAAUUUAUCAAAUCAUAUUACACACAUAAUCAUAGCUUUGAAAUCACCCCUAGCCAAGAGGGGUUUAGCCACUCAUAUUCACAACAAAACAAAAGAAAAUGAAUUUAAACAUUGGAAACAAAAGAAAGAAAACACCUAAACGCUCCAACGAUCCAAGUUGGACAGCAAGCACGUCCAAGCACUUUCCUUCCCUUUGCUACGGCACAAGGUGUUGGUGAGUGUUUGAAGGUUUUUUUGUAUGGAGGAAUGGAUGUGAAGAAGAAUGGAUGUGUUUGGAUAAAGGUUAUGUUGAAAUGGGAGUGAAUGAUCUAACAAAGUAUGAACUAAAUUUAUGUUACACACACUUCCUUUUAUAGAGGAAGUGCAUGGCAAUGGAGGGGAACAUGGAGUGGUGUAGCAAUUGAGUGCAAUGAUUCAAUGUAAUGAUGCAAGAAUCUGAAAUGAUAGAGGGAACAAGGAAUGGUGUAGCAAUUGAGUGCAAUGAGUGGUGUUUGAAAUGAUUUAAGGGUGAAAGUUAAGUGAUGAUGCAAACCAUGGG
rnacentral:lncRNA from 1 species